rnacentral:misc_RNA from 1 species
UCGAAUAAACUUGAACAGGCUGUUGCUGGUCCUUUGGAGGGCAUGUGCACGCUUGGUCAUCUCUUAUUCCUCCCAAAAUCGUGCACUCAUUGUAGACCCUCCUAUUAUGAGGGACUGCUGUGCUUUUUCAAGGCCGGCUUUCCCUUGCUUGGGUCUAUGUUCUUACUUUUUCACAAAGUCUUAGAAUGUUAUGGGUUAUAAAAAUAUAUAUAUA